CGGUCAGGAAGGCUUAUUUUUGUCCACAUUCCUGAAUGCUGCCUUAGUUUGACAGAAGAAAAGAUCCAGUGGGAGAAGGACUUACAUUUUGUUGGGACUUAUUUAUUUGUUUGAUUGUUUUCUUGAGAGUUGUCCUUGGCAAUCCCAGGCUGGCUCCCGGAAUUGUGUGGUUGUGGGGACAUCUCUGCAUCACGAUGUGCUGGGAGUGGCCACUUAAAUUUUGCAAAGCAAAAUAGCUGCUGCCUUGAAGAUGCUUUUUGACUGGCUGAUGCCUGCCACUUCUCUCUUUUAUUUGAAAGCUUCUGAGUUUUUACUGCUGAGCACAGAUCCUGACAUACUUUGUAAGAGGAAAUUCAGAAGUCAGCUGACUUCCCCACAGAGACGUAACAGGUCAAACAUACAGCCAGGAUUUCCGGUCCGCUAAACCACAGUGCAUCGGAGGCCUCCCCUGUGAACAUUUGGCAUGAAAAGGCAGGAAAUCUGGAAUGUGGGCAAAUGGCUAAAAGCAGGAACCUGAAGCUGCCAUGUCGUGCCCUUACUGGAUGUCCCAGUCGUCCAGCUAUGAGAAGAAAAGGACUUCAUGAUACCUGUGAAAAACAGGAAAGAUCUUUGUUUUAUUUCAGGUUCUUUAGUUUCCAGGCUGUGUCCCAUACCUGUCUCCUGUUCUUACUGCAGCUCACAGCAUGGCGUCUCAGCUGCCCAGCCUGGGAUCUGCUCCUGGGCUGCCAAAGCAGGAUGUGUUCAAUGUUGUCAGGCAGCACUCCCAGCACUGUGUCAGACCCAUACAUUGGAAAUAACUGUUCCCAAAUCAUGGGUCAAGCCAGGUUUUGGUAGAAAGUGCAACUUGGAAAUCAAGAUUUGGAAAGUGAUUGCAGGGAUCAGGAAGAGGGUAAGUUAAAACUAGGACAGUACUGUGUUUACCACCCCCUCUCACUGGAGCAUCUGGGAGACCUUCCUAAAACUAAUCUCUGCACAGGUAAAGAAGAAAUGUUGUAUUUCUAUCUCAACAGCAUAUGCAUUUUUGUUCCUCAAAAUAUGAUUUCAAAGCCUCCUCUUAUAGUAAUAAACCAGCACCACCAGGAGCUGGGACUGUAUGUUGAUAAAAACGUUACCUUCUUUCAAUGGUAGCUAGUGAGUAUUAUCAUUUUGGUCUACUCUAAUCUCAUUUACUUCAGCAGGGUUACUUUGUGCUUAUAAUGGCAUGAUUACGCGAUAACACUCCUUAUGGAUUUCCAAACAAAAGAAUGUAUGGGGAUGUGUGGAACUCAAAAUCUAACCUCUAUUUUCAGAUAUACCAACCAGACAGACUUCUCUCUCCUGUCCCACCUACACUUACCUGUAGCCUGCAAAAUCAUUAUUACUGUUGUAUCUGUUAUGGUAGCACUGACAGGCCCUGACUGAUCUUGUCUGUAGUUAUACUGUCACAGAAUGUGAGAGCUGGUGGCUCAAAGAAUGACAAUAUAAGUUGACAAGACAGAAAAAAGGGAAAGUGAAAAGUUAACCAGCUCAAAGCUGGGCAGUCAAUCAGUGGUGUAGCUGGGAGAGGACUGCAGUUGACUUACUGAGCACCACUGCCUAUUACGUGCUGUACCUUGGAAACCUCAUCCUCUUCUCAUAACCACAAAUCUUUACUGUGCACUUAAGUAGUGUAAGGAUCUUCAGUAUGUCUCCUUGCUGGUGCCAAACCCAAUAGCGGGAAAGCAUGGUAAAGUGCAUUUGAUGAGUGUUAUUCAUUUCAGAAGUGAAACACAAUUCUUCAAUAUUUUGCCUAGCCUAAAUUUAAGUAGAAGGAAUGGAAGUCAUGAGCAGAGCUGGCCAGAAUCUUCCAGGGUGUUUUUUUUUUUUUUCAGUCAAAAAAAUACUUUCAUUACUAAACCAAAACAUUCCACCCCACUGUUAUUAAAGUUGUGCUAGAAUUUACAAUGCAUCAACUUUAUUUCAAAGAAAAUGUAGCCUACAGAAAAACAACUUCUUAUCCCCCUAAACCAAAAGUGUCCAACUCAUUUUAGGACUACUCCUAUGAGUAGUUAUGUUUAUACUGUCCUAAAAUUACAGUCGGCCCUUUGAAGGCAACCGCAAAGCUGAUGUGGUCCCCAGUGAAAAUGAGCUUGACACUCCUGCAAACUCACCAGCUACAGAGUCUUCCUGCAUUGCUCUUAGGUGGGAGUGCUCAGUGUCCAUUACCACAUAUCCAUUCCUCUCUUUCUGUCACAUUGCCCCAGACAAACCACCUUUCAAUCUGAAAGGAAUAAAAAGUGCAUUUAAUCAUGUGACUUUUGUAGAUGAUGUUCCUUGUUCAGGUUGUAGAAGAACAAAGCCUGAGGAGUGUUGUUGGGAGACGUGCCAUAAGAUCAACAAACUCAGGAACUGAACAGAGGAUCAAUAUCAGAAUCCUGAAGCAGUUGUCUGAGCAGUUACUUUGUCUCCUCAAUCACUUGUCAGUCUAGGAAAUUUUUUACAGUUUGUACUGGGUGAUGAUUUAGUAACAUAUGAUCUUGGAGAGCAAUGAUUCCCCUUACCAGAUUAUAAGACCCCCCACUAAAUGCUCUACAAAGUAUUCAGGAAGUUCUCCCAGUCUUUGAUGUCCAACAUUAUUUUUAUGAUGUUUUUCCAAGCAAUUGCCUUUCUUUUCUUGAAGAGUGGCCACUGGGGAUGUGUGGUUUAUGCUGCAGUAAACUUGCUGAAACUGCAGUGCAAAGGAACAUGCCUGGGAGCAGUUCAGCUGGACUGAGACUGUCUGCAAACAACCUGGUAUAGGAACCAUGAAAGGCUUGCUUGGGUCACUUGUGAAGGCUGAUUUAAAAGAAACUUCCUUUGUCACAAGCUUUAUGAAAAUUUUUAGGAAGCAAGAACUCAGAGGAUUAUGGGUAUAACUAGUCUUUUUUUUUGUAAAUGCUGUAAUCAGAUAACAGUGUAUGAGUAUCUGAGGAGAGCUUCAGUCACGGACAACCUGCAUAGCUGGUGAUGAAAAGAAACCACUACUAGUCUUAGGUUAGGUCAGCUUCCACAUUACAGCAAAACAUUCAGUGCUGAGGUUGUACACAAGAGGUUAACAUUAGCAGCCAUGUCACAGUAUGUCCCAAAAGCUUCAUUGGCAUCCUGUCUUUGAGUCAAAAUCCCAGUACAUUAUAUGCAAUAAGUUUUCUCUUUCUGGAAAGCCAGCACUUCCCAGCUAGCAGCAGGUGCACUCACUUUGUGCUCUGAGAAGCUGACUGAACCUCUUCUUUAAGACGUAGUCAAAUAAUGACUGCUCUUGAUUUCCCACUUUGGACACUGAGCUCUGUACCUGCCACGAUCUUGGAUCAUGCAUUCCCCCCAGGAUUUGGAAGACUGUGGAAUACCUGAUUUUAAGCAUUGUGAUUUCUUGCAAAUGAAAGGAGAGGAAUAGGAAAAAGAUCUAUUGUUGAUUUUUGGUACAUGUAGGAGGGCUUCUGAUGUAGUCUUGGAAAUAUUCAUGUGCCCAUGUAAUCACUAGAAACAUGUCUUGGCUGUAUUUUUUCCUUCAUGAUGCUUACUACUGCUUUUUCUUUUUUCUCUUGAUGUCUUUUUCUGUUUGCUUUUUUUCUUUUUUAGCUGCUAAUGACAUGACAUGAUUUUGUUGUGUUGCCUCCUCUCUGACAUGCAACAGCUUUUAAAGUCACAAAUGAUAUAUUGCUAUUAUCAUCGCACCAAAGAUAUUACUGGUGAUACCGCAUGGUUUGUGUUAGCAUAUGAAGGGCUGUGUCAGAGCUUUUAAAGGGUUCACCCCUGGAAAACUUCAGUCUCUAACAAAUGUACUUUUGAAAGGAAUAAGAUGCCUGACAGACUGAUACUGAUAUUAUACAGUCUUGCUUCUUUAGGAGUCAUGCUGAAGGGUAACACUGUCUCUUGAGCUUUUGACCUCAACAGAUAAAAGUUGGUUUAAUUUUGGCUUAUUUUCCAGGCUCGUCUAAAAUACCUGGUUCAGUCAGCAUUCUCUUUAUGAACAACAGGGUUCCAGAUCAAGUAUUGUGCCCUUUGCGUGCACAGAUCAUGCAGCCAUCCCACUAUUUCCUCUCAGAGCCCCGGUACAUUCCCACCAUGCAGCUAUGUAACACUUGCACUGCUUUAUAUUAUAGUUCAAUGGAAAACAGCAAUUGAAGAAGGUGAGCUGAUCCAAUUUCAGAGACAAAAGCUGAUCUGCUCUGACAGUAAAGAUGUGUUUUCUGCAAUUACUAUCUGCAAACCUCCUCUGUGGAGGAAAUAGGAAUUGAUUUGAAAGAAUCCCUGGCAUUGUAAUGCUAUCAAAGGAAAAUUGCUUAUUAUCAAUUUGCCAUUCAUUCUGAAAGUCGUUAAACCAGUUAGAAUUACUUUAAUUCAGCACAAUCAUUCCUUCCAAACUAUGGAUGUGUAAUCUUGUUUCAGUAGCUCAUCAAUGGCUCUCUUUUCAUUUUCAUAUAGUGUUCUAUAUAAAUAUUAUUUCUCUCAAAGUGAUUUAAUAUUCAUGAAAACUAUAAAAAGCUACAAAUAUUGAUUUUGUUUAUAGAAUAAAUAAAUGCAAAAGUUUACUUAAAGUACACAUCUGUGUCUUUCAAAUUUCAUGAAAAGGACCAUCUCUGCGAUGGAGGAAGCGUGGUCUUUCUGUCCACCAAAGCUCCUGAUGUUGCCAUUUGCAGUGGGUUUCCACAAAACAAAACAGCUCCUCUCUAGGAACCAGACUAAAACCAGCAAGUCAAUGCACAUAAGUCCUUGAGUUGUGAUGUUGUUGUGAUGUUAACAGCCUUGUCACCUUCUCUUGCUUAGAGCAGAGUUCAAAUAAAUGCUUUUUUUUAAUCAAUGCUGCGUUGCUCUGAGCUUGGCUUGAUGAACAAUAUUUUUCCUCCUUGUUUUUUUUUUCUUUUCUUGCCAUGCUAAAGAUGGAUUUAUAAGGCUCAUUACAUUGGCAAUGAGGUAUGAAAACUUCCACCUUUUGCAUUCAGACUUAACUGUGAGUAAAAAUAUUUUCAUUUUAAAUUAGAAAUGUUGGUAUUCUCAGCCUUGCUUUCAGCUCUUGUGGACUCCAUCCAAUUUGCCAUACAUGAGGAAAACUAAAAUGGAAGAUGGAGGCUAGCGAUUGCAUUGUUUUUGGGAUAUGAAUUCAAAACAGUAUUUUCUCUUAACUUUAUAUUCCAGUGGGUGUUCAUUUGGGAUUUUCUAAUUUGGUUUAUGAUCUGAUGACACAGAGAACUUCACUUCCAUAAAAAUAGUUACUACUUAUAAGCAGAUUAUGUGAUUUGUUUCCUUUUCUUGUGGUUGCUGUCGUGUUUUUUCUUCAUUCUCUGAUUAAAAAACAAACAAACAAACAAAAACACAAAACAAAAAAAACCCAACCAAACAAAAUAAUCUAAACAUGAUCUCAGAUACAUCUAAUAUAUUUAGCACAGGUAGAGAAUGUUGCCACUAAUGUACAUUAAGGGCUAAGUAAUCCUGCAGAUAAUAAUCCCAGCAUCUCUUUUCAAGAUUUGAAUUAGACCUUUAUAGCUCUAAUUACUGCCUUUUGCUCAGUCUCAGACACCUGCCUGGGAAUGCUCUCCAGAACACUUAUCUCUAGUUACAAAGCCCAGAUCCCAUGAAAGAGGCAUCUAGUGUAUAAGAGUCCAGCCCAACAGUUCUCUGUUUCAGAAACCUACAGAUUGACUUUAAGCAAGUUACAUCUCUGGGGAUAACAUUUUAGGACACUUGUUAUCUGUUAUGUCCUCCUGCCAUCAACAACCUACAAGUUCUUAUAAUUCUGUUUAAUACCUGAGUAUAUAAAAAGCUUUUAAAUUUGGCUGAUUAAAAUUUCUGUGCUAAUACAAAGCAUAUUUUAAACACGCGAAUGUAUGAUUGUAACAGAAUCGCUGGUCUUUUUAUUUCAAUGAAAAAUACCUCUGAAAAAAAACAUUAAGAAGUUAGGUGUUAUUUGUAUGCCAACUCCUCCUUUUUUCCUUUCUUCAUAGCAAUGACUAAGGCACUUGUUUUAAAGACUAUAAGACUGAAAGGUGAGUCCAGCUAAUUCAAGAGCCUCCUUGUCUCUCAGUCCUUGUUCUCCUCUUUAUUUUUUUUUUUACUCCUUCUCUUCCAUCUCUUACUGGUUUUGGUGUUUUUCUUUUUCAGGGUUAAUUUCUACUCUCAGAAUCUAAUGGAAUAAGCUGCUGGCUGCAACAGCUUAAGCGAUGAAGAUGAUAUGGGAACAACUAAUGAGGGCUAGCUUGGAAGUGGUGCUGCGUUCCUAGUUUUAUGAUUGGCAUUGGGGCAGUUGCUUAGAGGCUCAUUCCAGUUUUCUGGAGGCUGUUCUACAGCCACUCAGCAAGUGAAAUUGAGGUGGUAUCACUUACAAUGCACGAUAACCAAAAGCUGAAAAAGUGUUUCUUCCUAUUCACAAUAUUGCUAAAAUUCUAGCAUGGGAGUUCAUUGUCUCCCUCUCCUCUCUCCUGACAUUUAAAUUUUGUUGUUACAAUCCAUUCUGCACCAAAAGGUGAUAAAAUCUGAUCUGCUCUAAAAAAGUUGAAAAGGGACUAGGAAUGGAGGUUUAUUCUCAGCCUCUACUAAUUUCUCAAGAUGUUUACUCAAAUUUUCCUCUCUCUCCCUCUCUCUCUCUUUGUUUGUUUUUAAACGACAACUUCUUUUUUUCCUGGCUCUGGGUGAGGGCAAGGCAGAGGAGGGACUUGCUGAACACGAGCUGCUUGUGAAACCCUGUGGAGCUGGUUGCUGCCAGGGGCAGGAAAUGGAACACAUGCCUUCCACCGAGGCACAUUGCUUUUUCUAAUCAGAUCAGCAGUCAUGCAGGGAGAAGUGGCACUGACAAAAUGUCAAGAAAUCAAUCCUCGCAUGCACAUGGGUUCCAACUGCAACUACGGAUGGAUUUCUGACAGAGAGGAAAUGACCAUGGCCAAAAUUGUGUUGUACAUCAUGAUUACAGCUGUACGGAACAGUUCAUUUAACCCAAAUAGUGGUGAGCCUUCAGAUUACUGUUUUACAAUUGCCCAUUGUAUUGUUACCUGUAUGCCCCAGAUAUAAGCCAUACUGCUGCUGGCAGAGGGAGGACACCAUGCCACCUGGUUGUAAGGAGUUUUCACAAAAAGCUUCUGUUUCAGAGGUACAUAAUGCAUGCCUGUCAGAUGGAAACAGCUACUUGUAUUGAGAUUUCAGAACAUAUUUGGAGGCCUCUAAUAUUGGCAAAUAAAACUUCUAGAUUUUUUUUCAGAAAUAAAACAAGACAUUUUUCUAUGUAUGUUUUGCAACUUAAAAUAUCAGCAUUUAGCAUUUGUUAUUUGAUAUUCAUAAUCCUAAUAGGUGCUAGCAAAUACGGGUGUGAAUAGCAAGUACAAAACUUUGCAUUUCUCUUCAGACCAAGCACAAUCUUAAUUAAAUCUACAAAAGCAUAGAAAUUCUGGAUUAAAGCUGAGAAUUCUUUCCAGUGCAUCCUGGCUUCAGGCAUAAAGAAAGGCUGCUGGAAUAGCUAGUGGUGUACUUGACAGAAGGCAUCCUACCCAUGGGCUCUAAUAGUUGGAGAUCAAGUUGAUAGCUAAUUACUUCCAGAGCUAGUGAAGGCUAACUCUGAGCCUUAUGUAGUUCACUGAUUGUAUCAGCACCAUAGCCAUUGAGAAUACAUCACAUUGACAGCACAUAUUAUUAGCCUUUUUCUAAAAUAUAUCCAUGAGAAUUAACUGUCUACCUCUUAAUAGCUCUGUUUUGCAUUACUGUGGAGAAUGAACUCACUGUUGAGCAAGCAGGGACUUGGCAAUAGUCAUACAACGGUAUGUUCUGAUCUGUUGAAACAUAACAAAUACAGUAUAGAUAAUUGCAUUGAUCUGCUGCUAUAUUAAAGCAUGCUGCUAUAUCAAAGCACGCUGCUAUAGUACUUUCAGUUCUGACUGCCUCCUCAGUACCCAGAGUGGCUCCAUGAACUACUGUAGAGAUGGCCUGAGGGAGAAUUCUGACUUGGUGAGAGAGGAUCUUUUUCAGAUGUAUGACCUUUAACAUCAACUUACCUGUUACAUCCUUUCUCUUAAUGCUGUGAAGAUUUCAGGGUAUGGCACUAGCAAAAACAUGGUAUCUAAUAUGGCUUUUUAUAUAUAGUCAAGCCACAUACCUGAUAUCUGAUGGCUUGGUGCAUGCCUAUUAGUUUUGGAAUAGUUUAUUUUUAUUACUUGCUUUCCUUCCCCUCUCUCCAGGCAGAAUAAAUCUAAAUUCAAAUUUUAAAUAGGUGGGGGUGCAGGCUGGAGAAAGAGAGGCUAGCAGUCAGCUCAGCAUGCCAAGGUUCAUCCCAAAGCAAUUUUUACAGCUGCAUUUUAAACUCGUUUAAGAAAAAAAAAAAAAAAAAGGCUUAUAAUAAAGAUUUCAGCCUUCCCUUAACAAUAGCAGAGCAGCUGGGAACUGCUAGAAUAUCAGAGGUUGCUGAGAAUUGCAGUUUGAAUGUCACUGUCUGCCCAACUUUAAAAGAAGAUGUCAAAUGUAGACCCUCUCUCACUGAAAAAAAAAAAGCAAAAAAAAAAAGCCUUAUUGAUCCAUUUAGCUGGUAACAGAUACGAAUCAAACCAAAAAGUAUAUUCUCUACCAUUCAAGUUAGAUAAAUGUCAAGAGCUGCAAUUGAUCUGCAGUUCACUGCAAAACUUCACGGCCAUAUAGCGUUAUAGACUGGUGAAUUCUGGAAAAAUAAGGACAUUUUUGUAGAGAGAUUUUUGUCACACUUUCUGUGAGAAACCACAUUUACAUGUUGAGCUGCUCCAAGCAUGGGUGUUAUAGCAUGUGACACUGGUAAGAGUCAGCAGCACUAGGCAGAAUUCCCUAUUUUUUUGAGGAGGCAGGAAAGAAUUGUGUUAGUUCAGGUACAGGAUUUGGCCUGCUGAAUUUGCUCACUUUUUCCAUGUUUUUCUACAAAGCACUGGUUUUCCUCAAUUAUACGCUGGCUUGUUUUGCGAUACUUUUGCAAGAAUGAGAACUGCAUGAGCAGCUUGCUCUACGAAAUCCGUUAACUGUGCUUUAACAAAUGGUCAUUGACUUACCCUUCAUUCUCCUUACCUUAGAGCUGCCCACACUGACAUCCCCAGUUCCCUGAGGAACCUGUCUGCAUUGCUGGACCUAUCCAGAGAAGAGUGAUGGCCAGUUUUGUGUUUACUAAAAUGAAAUGUGGAGCUGCCUUUGACUUGAAGCUCAGCCUGCAUGGAUGAGCCCUGUGCGCCUCCUGCUGAGAGGGAUGGCACAGCCAGCACAGACCUGAGGGCUGGCACCACCAAAACCCUUUUGCAGGAGAAUCGUGAUUCACAGCGCCCAUCAAACAAAAGGCUGAAAAGCAUAUUGGGAAUUUCACAGGCUGGAUAUUAUUGAUAGCAAGAAGAUAUUUUUUGGGGACAUGAACAAAUCAGAUGAUUAAUAAGAAUUGGGGAGAUUAAACACUCCGAUACCCCAAAGCAAGAGGAGCUUUCUUAUUCUGUCUAAUCUUUUGAUGGUAGAAAAGGUCUUCAAAGUGGGAAAUUUGUCCCCUCCAGAGGGUAACAGCCCUUCCACCACAGACAACCUGAAAGGUCAAGAGCUGUUAGGGUGCUGGGCAUUGCAGUAGAGUUCUGUUUCAUUUUUCGGGAAGCUGUGCUCAUCUGAAGCUGAAAAUCCAGGGCCAGCCCAUCUCCAUAGUGACACAAUGCUGCUUCAGCUUCAUGCAGCCAUGCAAUCCCACUCCAUUAUGUGUUCUAGUUUUGUCACAUACUUAAUUUUUGAAACUAGGCUGUGUAUGACACAUUUGUCUGAAGAAUCCUAUUAUUUUAGUUCUAGAAUCUAUACAUAGUCUAUUUGCUUUUUGAAGGAUUUACUAUUUUUUCUUUAAAAUUUUUUCUAAAUGUCAUAAAACACCUGUGCAACAAAAUUGAAAGUCAUAUGCCAUUACUAGUUAUUUACAAAAUAGCUGAAAGGAAGCUGAAAACAAUCUGAAAGGAAGAAAGGGGAAAAUUUACCUUUAGCUUUUGUGAAUAAUUUUUGCUUUUUCCUCCGGACCCCAAAUCCCUUAUCCCAGUGGCUAUCAAUAAAAUAACAGCUGGUGGAUGAAAUUCUACAUUGGGAACUUUUCAACAACAUCUAGAGAGCUGAGCUUUCAGGGUUUUAAAAAUAUGGUUGUUCUUGUUGUGCAUCCAUAAGUUUUGCUUCAUGAGCCAGAUGCCUGUAUAUCAAAUAUAAGUUUACUGAUUGUGAGGGGUUUGAGGAUUGUAAGUAGAAGCCCAUUCUGAAGCAAGACAUGGACUGUGUCUAUGUUAUUGAGUGGUGAUGGGCAGGGAGGGGGCAGGGUUUGGCUGUCCACAAGCAAUUCUGGUUCCAGGACCAUUCAUACCCAUUGUAUCCUUACCACAGGUGGAAUUCCUGCUGGUGUCUGGUCCUAGACACACACUUUGAACGUGUAGAGUUGACUAUGGGUAAACCUUGGGGUGAUGUGGCAAGUGGAGUGUUCCGGAUAGUGCCCUUAUAAGUGAUUUUAGCUUUGGUUCCACUGGUUAGGAAACUGAUACAAGUUUACCACUGGCAUGCUUGAAUGCAGACUGCCUGACAGCCAGGUAUGGGUGACAGCAAAUUUGCAGCUGGACAAAAAACCUUGUGCACCAAAUCACUAAUGGAGCCAUGCUCCACCUGCUCGUGAACAGUCUCAGCAGGUCAGUCUCUAAAGCGAUUUAGGACACGUGGAAAAUUAAGAUGGAAAUUUUGAAGCUGGCCAUGAAUCAUUACACUAGCUGCUUAUUGUAACUUGCAUAAAGAACAUUUAGCUUCAUUUACAAAGAGUCAGGAUAACUGCUGUAUUUUGAGUCAAAUAGCACACUUUUUAAAAAUUCUACAGAAUACCCUCAACUAUACUGUGUUGCGAUCAUCAGAGUGGGAGGUCAAAACACUUCCCAUGACUUGAUGUCCUUUUACAAUAUGAAGCUUUGUCUACGGGACUGUAUGUAGGGUCUUACAUAACAAAAUAUUUGACUGAUCUGAUAUAUCUUUAAUUCUCCAAUUACUGCAGUUUGUUAGCAAAGUUAGAGGCCAUUUUAUAAUUGUGGUUAAAUACUCUUAAUAGUUUUCAUCUAGGUGGGGAGCUGAGACAAACUAGGAGAACUCAGUGUAUAAGUACCAUCCUUUUUGACACCUGAAAAAGAAGCCUGUUUUAAUAUUUGGCUCUAGAAAAUGUAAAUGGCUUCUGUGGAGAUCUGAUUCUUUAUAUCCACAGUGGACUUGGCCCUAGGUGUGUGAUCAAAGAUAGUAACUGUGCACCAUACACUCUGGUGUAAUUUCAUCUUUAACCUGCCUCUGAGUCCUUUGAAACUGAUGACAUGGCUGAGGAGGUGCUGAAGUGUACCUAGCCAGUUUGGCAGUGUAAUCUUGAUUAAAACCAGGAUGGAACUGAACAUGGAACUCUGGAACAGGAGGUCAUAGUCCUUUUUAAUUUCAUAGAGAAAAAAAUGAAAACAAACAAAAACAACAACAACCAAAGCCAAAAAAUAAACAAACAAAUCUAAAACUUCCUGAAUAACUAUUAGAAGAAACGGCAAACAGAAUAUAAGCUGCCUUUUUUUUUUGUUUUUUUUUCUUUUCUUCCCUACACAUGCUUUUGAUCUGGAGCAGGGAUGGAAGUUAGUCCCCAGUAUUUUGAAAACAUAGUAAUUUAUGAAUGCACUAUUUGUCUAGAAUGGAUGGUAUAAUAAAAACAAGUGACAAAGUAGUGAUCCUUUGCAGAUCAGAUUCAGAUUUUUCUUGCAUAGCCUACAAUUUUCCUACUGUAUUUUGUGGUUAGCGGUGCCAGUUCCAAUGAAUUCUCAAAUUAGAAAAUGAGAAAGGACUGGAGCUAAAACUAAACUAUUUCUGCUUUAAGAUAUGGACUUCUGAAUCUUUAAAUUUUAGGAUGAUUUAUAGAUGCUUUUAAUCCACUUGCAAUUUAACAAUACUGUAAAAAUAAAUGGCAGAUAAUAAAUAAUUGUAGGGUAUGUGUUUUAAUUUUCCAAAUAUUUCAUUUUUUUAUAUCUUAAAUACUGUCCCUGAAGUCCAGAUAGCUGCUUUUCAAUCUUUUUUACUGGUUAAUUUCAGAACUGAAGGUAAACAAACUGUGCCCUUUUAACCUGUAGAGUUUGAUUGACAUUAUGUUAAACUAACAUAUGUCUACCCUAAGAAAACAUAAAGGCAGCUUUUUCCAAGGUAGAAGGAAAACUGCAGGGCUUUAUGGAUAAGAUCAUGUUCAUCCCCUUUUCCUGCCUUUUAGAAAACCUGAUUUGUAACAUCUUCCAGAAGCACAGAGAAAUGGCAUUUUUGUUUUGCAUUAUUAAAGAACUGCAUAGUUUGACUCAGAUUAAGUAUAAACACUCCUAACCGUGACUGGCAGAAGUGGGAGUACUGGAAGCCAGUGGAGUGAAGGUAGCUUGCACGGGGAAGACGCUUGGUUAUAUCUGUGUAGAUUAAUCAUGUAGAGAACUGUUGACUCAUCUUCUGCCUCCUUUUUAUUACCUCAGAUCAGGUGAGUGUAAUGUCAUGCAAACUGAAGCAUUUGUUAUCUGUCUUUAAAAGUUCAACUAAGGCCCAAUUCUGAAAUUCAUCUCAAAAAUGUCUUUGGCUUUUAUGAAAAUAGACUUGAACCCUUAAAAUGAACUUUCCUCUUAAAUUUCUGUUGAGAGCAGCAAUGUAGUGCUAAAGUCCCUGCUGAAAUCAGCAUCUGGCAGCAUUACCCCUUCAGGUCCUUAUCCCACACUCAUUUAUAUACACGAACAUAACAUUUUUGCAGGGAAAAACUUCAAUCAAAAAUCAUUAAGUUUGUAAAAUUGCCAUAGUUAAGUUUAUAGGAUGCUAGACCCUUCUAAGUAAAUAUUACAAUUUAGCCAUAUGGAAAAUGUAUUAAAACAAAAUAAAAAUAUUCUGAAAAAAGUCAUAGUACCAGUGUAGUCAUUGUGAACAAUUCUGUGGAAUUUAUAAGAGAAUUAUGUACCUUUCAGAGAUUUCUACAACUUACCUGUAUACAAAGGAAACAAUAUUAUUGCAAAAGUAGUUCUAUAAUUUUAGGAGAAUGUCUGUAUCCGUUACUAUGCACUAAAAUACAGUUCUUUGUCCAAUUGAUCACAUAUUUCCAAAUUAAAACCCCUAAUCCAAUAUGUCAGGAGGUAAUUCUGACCUAACUCUGAAUUUCCAGCCUAGUGCCUGGCUCUGUGUUGGAACAAACUGGGACCUAAGUAAUGGCGAACACUGAAAAGAGCUUGUUUCAUCAGGGUCUGUUUAGGUUCAUCUCAAGUGUCUAAGAAGCCCUAAGACAGAAAAGUGAAUAUUUUGGACAUUUUUUGUCUUUUAGGCACUAAAUACGUGGAAACAAAGACAACAAAACCACAAAAACUGGAAAAAAGUUGCCAUAAGGCUAUGUUGACAAAACUGGUAGGAAGGUCAGGAAAGUGAAAUUGAUUUAGCAAUCUAGAGUGCUCUUGUCCUCUUUUGAAGCAAAGCAAGUUCUACCUUGUAUUAAUAUUAUUGAUUUGGUAAGCAAUAUUGUGAUAUUUUAUCCAAUAAAACUACAGACUGUGGUGGAAAUUUGCAACAUGGCUGAAAGCUGAUUCAAUUCAAAUAUGCAUCUUGACCUUGCUUAAGUAGAUGAACAAGUGAGAAAUCUGUAACAUGGGUGUAAUAUUUAUCAGCUGUGUGCACAAGAGCUCUGGUGAGCAUGCCAUGUUUGUUUGGACAAGUGCUACCGGGUUUCAGAACUGACUCCCAGGUCAGUGUCAGCACUUCACAACCACGGAUGGAAAAUGUUUCAGGAUUUUUCUCCCGAGACUGCAAAUCAGGUUUUCCCAUGUUUGCUUGAGAGCUGAUAGUUGUAACCCAGUAAAACAAGAUGUCACUGUUGUCAUACUUCUCAUGUUUUGUACUUGAAAUACGUUGGCAGGAACUUUCUAACAUCUUUUUUUGUUACAGUUUCUGCAAAGCAAGGUAUAUCCGUUUUCCCUACAAUCCAUAUGAAAAUGAAUAAGUUGUCCUAAACUCACAAGUUAAUAGGAUCAGCAGCAAAGUCUGAGUCUUAAUUUUCUUUACCCCUGUUUUCUCUAAGUGGUUUUGACAAGGAACAGGAGAGGAAUGUGGAUAUUAAAGAUCUCUAAUGAGUUGUGCAUGAGGUAGUGGGGGGUUUUGUCUUUGUUUCAUAGAUUUUAAAAACUGGGCCUUGUGAGAACAGCCCGUCCGGGACUUUCGGGACCAAGAGCCCGCCCUUUCUCCUCAGUGAGGGACUGUUUCCGUCCGGAAAUAUCCCCGAGUGGGCCCUUGCUCCCCCAGGCAGGCCGUCAUUGCUUCUGGGCACCCCGUGGUGAGGGAGGCCUCUUAGUGUGGGCUGUGGAUCCUCAGCCUGUGGGUUCGCAUGGCGAUGAGAUUCCCCAGAUGGUACAUGACCUGCAGGUUGGUAAAUGCUGCCGGAGUGCUGACUGAUUUUGGAUUGUGUUGGUUUCUGUUGUUUGGUUUUGGUUCUGAAUUAAAGUUGGUUUAAGCUUGGAGUCGCUUUGGGGUGCCUCUGUGGCAGAAGUAGAGAGUCAUUUAGCUACAAGAUAUAUGGACAAGAUUGGAAAUAAUUCAGAAAACAAAGGACUUUAACAAUCUGAAAAUUGCCUGUAAAGAUAUUUGAAAUUAGUUUAGAGAGUGGUAUUGGAGAUGAAACUUUAGGGAAUAAACCAGGAGGAAAUGGGACCAUGACCUCAGUGCACGGUGUCCAGUCCUGCUUGGCUUUCAUGUGUGGGACACAGGCCUUGGGUUACUUCAGCUAGAAGUGCAUGCACACACCCAUAAGGAAUGAUAAAGUUACUUAACUUGGACUAAAAUGUAGGGAAAUUUGUGUCAAGUUUUGAUUUUGCCGUAAACUUUCAUUCUAGUGGUGAUCAAAGAAUUCAGAGCAAAUUUCUGGAGAUAAAUACACACAAAGGACACCAAUGAUAACACAAUUAAAAAAAAAAAAGGAAAGAUAAAUUCUGACCAUCUGAAGGAUUUACUGUUUUCUAAUCUUACUGGUUGCAAUUGUAUUCAAAUUUAACAUGAAUUACCCAAUCCCUGAUCUUGUGAAUUCAGAUUAUUUCCAGAACCAGGUAAAUUCUGUCUUUGUUAUGUGGAACCUGAAGUUCACAACUGUUGAUGUUCUGAAAUGUGCAGCUCUAUAAAAUCAAGAGAAUGAGGUAAAACAGGAUAUAUCUGUGCUUUUGCUAGUGAAAAGAUUACGAGUCUUGGAAUGUAUUCUGAGUGAACUCUGCAUGUUGAUCAACAAUGUAAGUUGCUAAGUCACCUGUUUAAAAUCUACCAGAGAAAAAUAGUUCUGAUUCUGUGUUUUGUUUUAUUUAUGUUUUGUUUGUUUUAAACCAACUCUGAGUAUCUAGAACAUCACCUCUUCUGUUUGCUUCUGGUUUGCACAGAGAUAGUACUGGAUUAUAAGAGACCUCUAAGCCAGGCUUUCCCUGACUGACACUCCUUCAAACUCUCUCCAGAACCCCCUAUGACAGAAACGUCCCCAUUUCCCUACCUGUAUCUCAAAACUUUUGCUAUCAGGAAGUUGCUUUUUUGCUUUUGUUUUUCCUGAAGUUGAAUCUUUUAUUUUCUGCAUCUUACACUGUCUGCUCUGUGUGCUUUGAGACAAACUGUUCGUAUCUCUGCACAGACUUUCACAUACCUGAUGACUUACAUUCACUGUCAUUCUUCUAGGCAAAACAAGCCUGUUCGCUCAAUCUGUAGUCUUUUUCUUUUUUUUUUUCCCCUCUCUUUUUUGGGGGGGAGAGGACGGGAAGGGGUGGGGCUUGUGUUGUAUAAUUUUGCUUUCUGUUAUUGUACCCAUUGAACUUGUAUAUGAACCAUACACUCUCUUUUUCGGGAUUUAGGUAAAAGAAAUAUCUUUGUAAAACUCCCUAAUUUUUAAAUAGUGAACAGAAUCAUCCUUUCUUUAUUCAAUCAUG